AGAGGUGAUCCUGGCUCAGGAUGAACGCUGGCGGCGUGCUUAACACAUGCAAGUCGAACGAUGAAGCCUAGCUUGCUGGGUGGAUUAGUGGCGAACGGGUGAGUAACACGUGAGCAACCUGCCCCUGACUCUGGGAUAAGCGCUGGAAACGGCGUCUAAUACUGGAUAUGUCCCAUCACCGCAUGGUGUGUGGGUGGAAAGAUUUUUCGGUUGGGGAUGGGCUCGCGGCCUAUCAGCUUGUUGGUGAGGUAAUGGCUCACCAAGGCGUCGACGGGUAGCCGGCCUGAGAGGGUGACCGGCCACACUGGGACUGAGACACGGCCCAGACUCCUACGGGAGGCAGCAGUGGGGAAUAUUGCACAAUGGGCGGAAGCCUGAUGCAGCAACGCCGCGUGAGGGAUGACGGCCUUCGGGUUGUAAACCUCUUUUAGCAGGGAAGAAGCGAGAGUGACGGUACCUGCAGAAAAAGCACCGGCUAACUACGUGCCAGCAGCCGGGUUAAUA
rnacentral:rRNA from 1 species